rnacentral:rRNA from 1 species
UUUUGGUGAGGUGCCUUCCGAGUUCCCUGGAACGGGACGCCACAGAGGGUGAGAGCCCCGUCUGGUUGGACACCGAGCCUCUGUAAAGCUCCUUCGACGAGUCGAGUAGUUUGGGAAUGCUGCUCUAAAUGGGAGGUAUAUGUCUUCUAAAGCUAAAUACCGGCCAGAGACCGAUAGCGCACAAGUAGAGUGAUCGAAAGAUGAAAAGAACUUUGAAAAGAGAGUUAAACAGUACGUGAAAUUGUUGAAAGGGAAGCGCUUGUGACCAGACUUGGGCUUGGUUGAUCAUCCGGGGUUCUCCCCGGUGCACUCUUCCGGCUCAGGCCAGCAUCAGUUCGCCCUGGGGGAUAAAGGCAGCGGGAAUGUGGCUCUCUCCGGGGAGUGUUAUAGCCCGCUGCGUAAUACCCUGUGGCGG